AUUAUGGCUCAGGAUGAACGCUAGCGGCAGGCCUAACACAUGCAAGUCGCGGGGCAGCACGGGUAGCAAUACCUGGUGGCGACCGGCGCACGGGUGCGUAACGCGUAUGCAACCUGCCCCCAUCAGGGGAAUAGCCCGCCGAAAGGCGGAUUAAUGCCCCAUAGGCCCAGGGCGCCGCAUGGCGCUAUGGGUAAAGCUCCGGCGGAUGGGGAUGGGCAUGCGUGCCAUUAGCUAGUUGGGCGGUAACGGCGCACCAAGGCGACGAUGGCUAGGGGGUCUGAGAGGAUGGUCCCCCACACUGGUACUGAGACACGGACCAGACUCCUACGGGAGGCAGCAGUGAGGAAUAUUGGUCAAUGGGCGGAAGCCUGAACCAGCCAUGCCGCGUGCAGGAAUGACGGCCCUACGGGUUGUAAACCUCUUUUGCCUCGGGGCAAUAAGGUUCAUGCGUGGACCGAUGAGAGUACGAGGCGAAUAAGCAUCGGCUAACUCCGUGCCAGCCGCAGC
rnacentral:rRNA from 1 species